AUUGAACGCUGGCGGCAGGCUUAACACAUGCAAGUCGAGCGGAGAGAGGUAGCUUGCUACUGAUCUUAGCGGCGGCCGGGUGAGUAAUGCUUAGGAAUCUGCCUAUUAGUGGGGGACAACAUUUCGAAAGGAAUGCUAAUACCGCAUACGUCCUACGGGAGACAGCAGGGGAUCUUCGGACCUUGCGCUAAUAGAUGAGCCUAAGUCGGAUUAGCUAGUUGGUGGGGUAAAGGCCUACAAAGGCGACGAUCUGUAGCGGGUCUGAGAGGAUGAUCCGCCACACUGGGACUGAGACACGGCCCAGACUCCUACGGGAGGCAGCAGUGGGGAAUAUUGGACAAUGGGCGGAAGCCUGAUCCAGCCUUGCCGCGUGUGUGAAGAAGGCCUUAUGGUUGUAAAGCACUUUAAGCGAGGAGGAGGCUACUUUAGUUAAUACCUAGAGAUAGUGGACGUUACUCGCAGAAUAAGCACCGGCUAACUCUGUGCCAGCCGCCGCGGUAACAC
rnacentral:rRNA from 1 species